UACGUAGGGUGCAGGCGUUAAUCGGAAUUACUGGGCGUAAAGCGUGCGCAGGCGGUUUGCUAAGACAGGUGUGAAAUCCCCGGGCUUAACCUGGGAACUGCGCUUGUAACUGGCAAGCUAGAGUGUGGCAGAGGGGGGUGGAAUUCCGACGUGUGAGCAGUGAAAUGACGUGAGAGAGUGUGGAGGAACACCGGAAUGGCGCAAGGGCAGCCCC
rnacentral:rRNA from 1 species